ACUUUGCAGUGACAGAUCAGAACUGCUCAGUUCACCUUCUCAAGAUGAGGUUCCCUGCUCAGCUCUUGGGACUGUUAAUGCUCUGGGUCCCUGGAUCCAGUGGGGAUAUUGUGAUGACCCAGACUCCACUCUCCCUGCCAGUCACCCCUGGAGAGCCGGCCUCCAUCUCCUGCAGGUCUAGUCAGAGCCUCCUGCAUAGUGAUGGAAACACCUAUUUGUAUUGGUACCUGCAGAAGCCAGGGCAGCCUCCACGGCUCCUAAUCUAUAGAGUUUCAAACCGGUUCUCUGGAGUGCCAGACAGGUUCAGUGGCAGUGGAUCAGGCACAGAUUUCACGCUGAAAAUCAGCCGGGUGGAGGCUGAGGAUGUCGGGGUUUAUUACUGCAUGCAAGCUUUACAAACUCCGCUCACUUUCGGUGGAGGGACCAAGGUGGAGAUCAAACGAGCUGUGGCUGCACCAUCCGUCUUCAUCUUCCCGCCAUCUGAUGAACAGGUGAAAUCUGGAACUGUCUCUGUUGUGUGCCUGUUGAAUAACUUCUAUCCCAGAGAGGCCAGUGUAAAGUGGAAGUUGGAUGGUGUCGUCCAAACGGGUAACUCCCAGGAGAGUGUCACAGAGCAGGACAGCAAGGACAACACCUACAGCCUCAGCAGCACCCUGACGCUGAGCAGCACAGAGUACCAGCAACACAAAGUCUAUGCCUGCGAAGUCACCCAUGAGGGACUGAGCUCGCCCCUCACCAAGAGCUUCAACAAGGGAGAGUGUUAGAGGGAGAAGUGCCCCAGGCCCCCUACUUGCUCCUCAGCCCCAGCCUCACCCCCUCCCAUCCUUUGGCCUCUGGCCCGUUUCCCACAGGGGACCUACCCCUAUUUCAGCCCUCGAGCUCAUCUUUCACCUCCUCCUCCUCCUCCUCCUUGGCUUUAAUUAUGCUAAUAUUGGAGGAUAAUUAAUAAAUAAAGUGAAUCUUUGCACCUGU